UGCUAUUGUUUUUGUCAGAUUUAGUGUUGCCAAGUAGAGGGUGAUGUUUGUUUUUGUGGUUAAUCGUUAAUAUAUUCUUCUCAUAUAUCCAACAACUUCAAACAUGAGAAAUUCGAAUUCUAUGUUUUUUGGUUUGGAAACUUGGAUAUAUUUUGCUUAUUAUUAUAUAUUAUAGUCUUUUUAAAUAACUCUUAAUUGAAAAUUGAAAGUAAUUGGGUUUUGAAUUUUACGUUAUUUGGUUUGCAAUUGGAUAUAUAGCUUAAUAUUGUAUUUUUAUAUACUCUUUUGCUAAUAAUUGAAAGUAGUAGCUUCUAAAGUAUACAAGUAUUCCUAAUUGAAAGUGGUCAUGUUUAUUUUAUUUAUGUAUUCAUGAUUGGUCAACAAUUUCUAAAUCAUGUUCCCAUCAAUGGUAAAGUGAAUCUAAAAGGAUGGUAUAUUAAGCAUUUAUUAACAAAUUUUGGAUGAUAUUUUAUUCCAGGGGUUGUCAUAUUGUUAUUAUGUUAAUAAAGCUUUUAUCCCUUGUAUUUAAAAUAUAUAUAUAUAUAUAUAUUUGCAUUUUAUUGGAACCCCAUUAUAAUAGUUAGCCUCUGCUGUAGUUCAAAUUCUUGUUGAUUCACUCCUUUGUUUUGUGCUAUGUUACAUGGACUCGGGUACAGAGUGCGUGUGCGUAUUUAGAGGUCGGACUCAUCAAAUCUCAAAUUCAAGAGUGCAUGGACUCGGCAAAAAAGAGUCAUAGUUUUAUAUUUCUAAUCUAUUAUGUGAGAUAAAAUGGUACUAUAUGUAACAUAGAAUGUCAAAAAAGGUACUUAUAGCAAUUACACAACAAAAGAUACAUAUGAGAUAGUGUUAAAUACGAAUAUAUGAGAAGUGUCCAAUGGAAAGUAUCGGAUGCCACACCCUUGUCUGAGUGUUGAGUGUCCGGCAUGGAUAUUUAAUUUAUUUUGUAGAAUCUAUGUAACAUAGGUUUUGUGAAAGAUUGACAGAUCUAGAAUUGGACCAAACCUUUUAUGUCAACAAUAUAUUGAUCUUUGUGCCAAAAUAUCUUUUAAGUACACUGUUAAGUAUGGACACUGUUGUAGAGAUGCUAUGGUGUUGCUUGAUAGGCAUUGGAAUUGGACAUAGACACAGCUUGGACAUACUGUCUGACACAUGCUCUAUUGUAGAAGUUUGAGAUGAUUCCUUUAAUUUUGGACAUAUCAUGGACCCACAUUAUAUGUAAGAUUAAAUCUUCUUGCUUAUGAGCAAGCCAUGUGGAGUGCGAUUGGUGUUGAGGAAAGAUCUUUUGAAUAAGCAAGCAACAAGGACUGUAGGUUUGUCAAUAUUUGCAAACCUUUAUUGAUUUACGUUUAAUGGUAUGAGCUCUGCUAACCCCCAUCAUCUGCGAGGUGUGGGCAUGAUGCUGUACAUGAAUUUGAUAGGACAUAGGCACAUAUUAAGUCACAUCUUAAAAAAGAGAAAUUGGGACAUGACAGGGACAUGUAUAUGUGAAACAAUAUUCAGUAAUAUGCUUGCAACAGUUGUUGAAGGGUAUGUUCUAAGAUUUUUUUUUUUGUUUAUUUAUAAUAUAUGUUUUUAAAUAAAAUAAUAAAAUUGAAUACUUCCAUACAAAGGAAAGGAAAUAUUCAUGUAGUAGUUUAAAUGAAUGCUUUAUUGUUUAUUACAAAAAAAGAUAUGCUUUCUGCCUUGAUAAAAGACAUUACAAGGCCUGGUGCAUGAUUACAUGUCAAUGAAUUUGAUGUAAGUAGUUCAUGUAACCAAGUUAAAAAAGCACGAUAUUUAAAUUGAUUUUUUUUACGUCUUGGGAAUAAAUAAAUGAACUUCAAUUAUUAUGGCAGCAAA